CAAUGCGCGCGUAUCUGUCAAAUGUACGGUUAAAGGGUUAUUCCGCAUUUUUUGCCGAUCCGCACACAUUGGAAUUUCGCUAACUCCUCCGAAGGCUUUCGUUCCACCGGCACCACAUUUGCUCAGGCCAAUCUACACCUCAUGGCCAUUAAAAGUUAUUCAAAUCAUGACGCUGCACCCCACGGUUUAGGUUCUAGGGGGCGCCAAAGAUAACCCUAAAAUCCACAUAUUUAAAAGUCUUAUAACUUUUUAUUUUUGUCCUCACUGGCCUCCAAGUUUUCUAGGAUGAUGCAAUGUCCAGCCAUCAACACAUUUGUGAAGGAAUUUUCACUCCCCAAAAGAGCGCCCCCCCAUGGCAGGAGAAAAAAGUCAAUUUUUUCUUGUCCCCUAAGGUGGAAAUUCACACUAUUGACUGUCACGCCUGUACGCUUUAUCAUAUUGACACAAAAAUUGACACACAUAUGUAUCUCAAUAAGAUCUACAAAAAAGUCAAUGCGCCCGUAUCUGUCAAAUGUACGGUUAAAGGGCUAUUUUGCAUUUUUUGCCGAUUCGCACACAUUGGAAUGUGGCUAACUCCUCCUAAGGCUUUCGUCCCACUGACACCAAAUUUGCUCAGGCCAAUCUACACCCCAUGGCCAUUCAAAGUUGUAAAAAUCAUGACGCUGCACCCCACGGUUUACGUUCUAGGGGGCGCCAAAGAUGACCCAAAAAUCCACAUUCUUAAAAGAAUCCACAUCCCCCCCCUAUGGCAGGAGAAAAAGUCAAGUUUUUCCUGCCCAUCGCUCAAUGGCUCAAUCGCAUCGCUCUCCAGGCAACACCGUAAGGAGGAGCAAUCUGCCAUUUCGAUAUAUCAUAGCUGUGUUUGUGCCCUCACUCAUGGUCCAGACUUUUUUCAAAUAGGACAUGAAGUUUGUCUGCAGCGAGUGUUUUGGUAGAAACUGCGCCUCCCAUUCAUUAUAAUGGGAAAUGACCACAGACAAGUGCGCACACCAUCUUUGGACCUUUAGUGUGACGCGAUCGGGAGGGGGAGGCGGUCGCGCUGGGGGCGGCGCGACGCGGCUCGGGCCCGACAGUGCCCCACCGGGGCCCUAGUUCUUUCUUUCUUUCUUCUUUUUCCUCCCCUUUGAACUGGAAAAUGGCCCACUUCCCACUGGCGAAAACUCAUGAAAUUUGGCAGGACGACCGGGCCUGGUGAAAAAUUCGAUAUUCUGAAGUCGCCCAAACAAUAAAAUGCAAAAUGGCUCCAUAGCGCCCCCUAAGGUGGAAAUUCACACUAUUGACUGUCACGCCUGUACGCUUUGUCAUAUUGACACAAAAAUUGACACACAUAUGUAUCUCAAUAAGAUCUACAAAAAAGUCAGUGCGGCCGUAUCUGUCAAAAUUACGGUUAAAGGGUUAUUUCGCAUUUUUUGCCGAUCCGCACACAUUGGAAUUUCGCGCUAACUCCUCCGAAGGCUUUCGUUCCACCGGCACCACAUUUGCUCAGGCCAAUCUACACCCUGUGGCCAUUAAAAGUUAUCAAAAUCAUGACGCUGCACCCCAAGGUUUAGGUUCUAGGGGGCGCCAAAGAUAACACUAAAAUCCACAUAUUUAAAAGUCUUAUAACUUUUUAUUUUUGUCCUCACUGGCCUCCAAGUUUUCUAGGAUGAUGCAAUGUCCAGCCAUCAACACAUUUGUGUAGGAAUUUUUACUCCCCAAAAGAGCGCCCCCCCAUGGCAGGAGAAAAAAGUCCAUUUUUUCUUGUCCCCUAAGGUGAAAAUACACAUUGUUGAGUGUCACGCCUAUACGCUUUGUCAAAAUGACACAAAAAUUGACACACACAUGUAACUCAAUAAGAUCUACAAAAAAGUCCAUGCGCGCGUAUCUGUCAAAUGUACAGUUAAAGGGUUAUUCCGCAUUUUUUGCAGAUACGCACACAUUGGAAUUUCGCUAACUCCUCCGAAGGCUUUCGUUCCACCGGCACCACAUUUGCUCAGGCCAAUCUACACCCCAUGGCCAUUAAAAGUUAUUCAAAUCAUGACGCUGCACCCCACGGUUUAGGUUCUAGGGGGCGCCAAAGAUAACCCUAAAAUCCACAUAUUUAAAAGUUUUAUAACUUUUUAUUUUUGUCCUCACUGGCCUCCAAGUUUUCUAGGAUGAUGCAAUGUCCAGCCAUCAACACAUUUGUGAAGGAAUUUUUACUCCCCAAAAGAGCGCCCCCCCAUGGCAGGAGAAAAAAGUCCAUUU
rnacentral:lncRNA from 1 species